UCAAGGUUGACCUCGAAUCAGGUAGGAAUACCCGCUGAACUUAAGCAUAUCAAUAAGCGGAGGAAAAGAAACAACAGGGAUUGCCUCAGUAACGGCGAGUGAAGCGGCAACAGCUCAAAUUUGAAAUCUGGCCCCAGGCCCGAGUUGUAAUUUGCAGAGGAUGCUUUUGGCGCGGUGCCUUCCAAGUUCCCUGGAACGGGACGCCACAGAGGGUGAGAGCCCCGUCAGGUCGUGCAACCAAGCCUUUGUAAAGCUCCUUCGACGAGUCGAGUAGUUUGGGAAUGCUGCUCUAAAUGGGAGGUAUAUGUCUUCUAAAGCUAAAUACCGGCCAGAGACCGAUAGCGCACAAGUAGAGUGAUCGAAAGAUGAAAAGCACUUUGAAAAGAGAGUUAAAAAGCACGUGAAAUUGUUGAAAGGGAAGCGUUCAUGACCAGACUUGGGCCCGGUUGAUCAUCCAGCGUUCUCGCUGGUGCACUCUGCCCGGCCCAGGCCAGCAUCAGUUCGCUCCGGGGGACAAAGGUUCAGGGAAUGUGGCUCCCCUCGGGGAGUGUUAUAGCCCUGUUCAAAUGCCCUGGGGUGGACUGAGGUCCGCGCAUUGCAAGGAUGCUGGCGUAAUGGUCAUCAACGACCCGUCUUGAAACACGGACCAAGGAGUCGUCUUCGUAUGCGAGUGUUUGGGCGUUAAACCCCGGCGCGUAAUGAAAGUGAACGCAGGUGAGAGCUUCGGCGCAUCAUCGACCGAUCCUGAUGUUCUCGGAUGGAUUUGAGUAAGAGCAUACGGGGCCGGACCCGAAAGAAGGUGAACUAUGCCUGUAUAGGGUGAAGCCAGAGGAAACUCUGGUGGAGGCUCGCAGCGGUUCUGACGUGCAAAUCGAUCGUCAAAUAUGGGCAU
rnacentral:rRNA from 1 species